UCCCCCCCCCCCCCCGCGCAAGAUUUUCCCUUCCCGACCUUUACCGCUCGCCCAAAUCCCACACCCGUGCUAGGGUUUCGGCAUCUGGCAUCGCCUUCAUUAUUGGCGCAUCUCCGACGGCCUCUGGCGGCUCUUCCCCAUCGUCUUUAGCGCCCCCACGUGCUCCCUCGCCAUCUGAUGUUCCACCUCAAGCAGGGCGCCGUGGAGGAUCUCCUCCCGCAGGAUCCACGGAUGUGGCGCACCCUGCAGCCGCUAGUCCGGGAGGAGGGCGGACAAUGCGUCCUUGUCCUGGUCGAUGACGGUUGUGGCGAACGCCGUUGCUGCUCCUCAUUCUCGACCUUCAACGAGGAGUGUUGGUACAGCAGAAGCACGCCCUGCCCCUGAACAAUGGCUAUGGCGCCAGGUGAGGUUGUGCUGCCGUACCUAUAUUGCCUGGAGUAAACAAUUUGAUGGGACAUAUUGCUUGUACUAGAUAUAGUUAGUCUGUAGUGGUCAUCUUGUUUUUAAUUUUGGGGACAAAUUGCUGCUUGUGCUGUCAAAUAUGUAAUUUAAUCUGUUACUAGAAGUGGGCUGCCUGCUUUGCUGCGCUGCUCUUUUUCCAGGUUAACCAUCCGUUUGUUUAGUUGUUCGUGGGUCUGUUGCGUCUUUUUGCUGGGUGUUGGGUGUUGCCCUGCUAGAUGCGUAUAAGAUUUGCAUGUAUACACACCUGUGUUGAGCAUUGGUAAUCAUGAUUUUUAGUAGCCCUGAAUUAUAAGCUCAGGCAAGCAUACCAAUUCCGGUGUUGUCACUACACAGUAUGUACAACAAAGGGCGAAACAAUAAUCAAAUACUGUGAGCGUGUUUUAUUCUUCUGCGAUGAAACAAGAUGUCUCUAUUUUUGCUUUCCUUUUAUGAUAAAGCUACUGCACAAAAAUACAACUGAUUGUAAAAGGAAAGAAAACAUUUUCACACAACUAAUAAAAACAAGAAAACAUUAAGAUAUGUGGCAUGUGUCCAAUUUACAUGUAGCUCCAACUCGUAUUCACCAGCACCAUGGGCAGGUAGGGUGGACUCUAUCUUGGCCUCUUGGGUCUCAUCAUCACAAAAAUUCAUUAAACUUGCAUACCUGCAUCAUAUGCAGAUGUCGAAAAUUGCAACAUAUGUAUAGCGCAUCAUGUCAUCAAUUGCUUCCAGCCAUCAAAUUAUUAAGUGACACGUACUAUGCUUUAUGUGUGUCUGAAGCUAUGCAACAACUAAUUUUCUUUAGUCUCAAAUCUUGUAGCAACCAGUCAUCCGUUCACUUACAGGACAACGACUAGAGCCUAGAAAUGGUACUGUAAAUAUAUAGUUCUGUUCCACGUUUAGUCUACUGUGCAAGAUUGUCACAAUUAGUAACCCAAUACUUUCAGGCACUCAUUUGUUUUGGAUAAACAUACCCUUCUAUUAAAUUAACAUAUACAAUUCAGUCAAAAAAAUUAUUAUAUACAAAUCAUUCUUUCUUAAAAAAAUCUAUAUUGUUAGAAGAGUGUUCAAAGGUUUACUUAUUCAAAUAACUCUAUCGAUUGUCUAAAUAAGGGAUAAAACUGUCAAAUAGAAUAGAUCCUGAAGAAAUGCUAAUGCCAAUUGUAUUUAGAGAAAAAACUUACCAAUUAAUUGGCAAUAAAUUAAUCAUAGCUGCAGUACAGAUUUGUUGAUAUUUAUAUGAGGUUACAACUAUAGCCUACACAAUCUUAAUACACACAUAGGAGAAGAGAACUUGAAGGAGGGAAACUCUGAACCAUAGUUGUAGCUAGAGAUAAAGAUAAAAAAUAACAUAUAUUAUAUAGACACAUCACCUUUUGUACAACCGGCACUCAACAAUUUACAGGUAACACAAACAUGCACAAGACUUCGCUGAAUAAUUUGAAGCACUGGAGAUAACAUACGAAGCAACAAAAUGAUGUCUGUUAGUUACCCAGUGUACUUAUUAGGGUUGGUUUCUGUGCUACUAAUGACUACUGCCUUCUCUACCCAUCCAAUGGUGUAUAGGACGUCCUCCCCUUGAAGCGGCCGUCCCAACGAGAUCUCUUCGCCGGAGGUGGAGCAGCAAGUCCAGCACCCCCUUGGCCUCCUAUCCUACAGCACAUGGACGAGCUCACCGACGGCUGUGUUAUGCCCUCCUAGCGUGAUCUUGGUUAUGGGACCAUUUUCAACAAGACAUGCCUUGUGACAACUUUGGGAUGGACGGGUGGAUUUGCUGCUUGGAUGACCCCUAGUUGGUUGUGCUAGCCUGAUAAGAGUGGCCAUAGCUUGAUGGGGGCGGUGCUGGUUGUAGAGUAGGAUAAUGUUCUCUGGGACAUGCUUGUAAAAUUAAUUUUUUGGCUCUUUUUUCCGCUCCUGUACAAGUGUAUUUUUGGAUAUGUUGUUGCAACUUUCUUUUUCUUAUAACAUGAGCAUAUAUUUUUUGUCA